rnacentral:rRNA from 1 species
GACGAACGCUGGCGGCGUGCCUAAUACAUGCAAGUCGAACGGUCUUUUCUAUGGAAGCUUGCUUCCGCUGAGAAGAUAGUGACGAACGGGUGAGUAACACGUGGGUAACCUGCCCAUAAGAGGGGGAUAACAUCCGGAAACGGGUGCUAAUACCGCAUAGGUUUCUUGGUCGCAUGAUCGAGAAAGGAAAGACGGCCUUUGUGCUGUCACUUAUGGAUGGACCCGCGGCGUAUUAGUUAGUUGGUGAGGUAACGGCUCACCAAGACGAUGAUACGUAGCCGACCUGAGAGGGUGAGCGGCCACAUUGGGACUGAGACACGGCCCAAACUCCUACGGGAGGCAGCAGUAGGGAAUCUUCCGCAAUGGACGAAAGUCUGACGGAGCAACGCCGCGUGAGUGAAGAAGGUUUUCGGAUCGUAAAACUCUGUUGUCAGAGAAGAACAAGUCGGAGAGUAACUGCUCCGGCCUUGACGGUAUCUGACCAGAAAGCCACGGCUAACUACGUGCCAGCAGCCGCAGUAACAC